CCUACGGGAGGCAGCAGUAGGGAAUAUUGGUAAUCUGGGAAACCGGGAACCAGCAACGCCGCGUGCGCGAUGAAGGCCUUCGGGCUGUAAAGCGCUUUUUGGGGGGAUGAGGAAGGACAGUACCCUCAGAAUAAGCCUCGGCUAACUACGUGCCAGCAGCCGCGGUAAAACGUAGGAGGCGAGCGUUAUCCGGAUUUACUGGGCGUAAAGCGUGUGUAGGCGGUUUGAUAAGUUGGAUGUGAAGGCUCCCGGCUUAACUGGGAGAGGUCGUUCAAAACUAUCAGACUCGAGAGUGGUAGAGGGAGGUGGAAUUCCGCGUGUAGUGGUGAAAUGCGUAGAUAUGCGGAGGAACACCAGUGGCGAAAGCGGCCUCCUGGCCCAUUUCUGACGCUCAGACACGAAAGCUAAGGUAGCAAACGGGAUUAGAGACCCCGGUAGUCUUAGCUGUAAACGAUGUGAACUUAGUGUCGGUGGGGUUAAAUCCAUCGGUACUGAAGCAAACGCGAUAAGUUCACCGCCUGGGGACUACGGCCGCAAGGUUAAAACUCAAAGGAAUUGACGGGGCCCCGCACAAGCAGCGGAGCGUGUGGUUUAAUUCGAUGUUACACGAAGAACCUUACCAAGGUUUGACAUGUAAGUGGUAGGAAGCCGAAAGGCCUACGACCCUUCGGGGAGCUAUGAGAAGGGCGAAUUCCACACCC
rnacentral:rRNA from 1 species